GACCCUGCAGGUGCUCAGUGUGCAGGGGCUGACCAGGCGUGAACGACAGAGCCGAGCCAAAGUCCACAAUCUUCAGGUGGUUGCCGUCGUCCACUAGCAUGUUGUCGGACUUGAGGUCCAAGUGGACCACUCGCCGGCCAUGAAGGUAACAUGGAGCCUGUGGCUGUGCUGGCUGAUCCAUGCAUGCUGGCUGAGGAACCUCUGCAAUACCACCCUCAGCUCUGAAGACCAAAAAGCAAUCCGGGGUUACUGGUUCAAGUUCACAAGUGAAUAUUUGGAGGAUUGUUCAGAUGUUCUGGCCUAGGGAUGGGCAACUGAAAUGACGGUGGGGGUCACAAUUGUCAUCAGCGCUAUCGGUGGGCCACAUAGGAAAAUGCACAUCCUAACAAGCUGUAUGACAAAAAUUGUAUUUUAAUAAUGGCUAAAAUACAUGCGUAUGUGAAAAAUAA